CCUUGACAUACUAAGAACUUUCCAGAGAUGGGAUUGGUGCCUUCGGGAACUUAGAUACAGGUGCUGCAUGGCUGUCGUCAGCUCGUGUCGUGAGAUGUUGGGUUAAGUCCGCAACGAGCGCAACCCUUUUCCUAUUUGCCAGCGGGUAAUGCCGGGAACUUUAAGGAUACUGCCAGUGACAAACUGGAGGAAGGCGGGGACGACGUCAAGUCAUCAUGGCCCUUACGGCCAGGGCUACACACGUGCUACAAUGGUCGGUACAAAGGGUUGCUACCUCGCGAGAGGAUGCUAAUCUCAAAAAGCCGAUCGUAGUCCGGAUCGCAGUCUGCAACUCGACUGCGUGAAGUCGGAAUCGCUAGUAAUCGCGGAUCAGAAUGCCGCGGUGAAUACGUUCCCGGGCCUUGUACACACCGCCCGUCACACCAUGGGAGUUUGUUGCACCAGAAGUAGGUAGUCUAACCGCAAGGAGGACGCUUACCACGGUGUGGCCGAUGACUGGGGUGAAGUCGUAACAAGGUAAGCGUAGAUGA
rnacentral:rRNA from 1 species